rnacentral:rRNA from 1 species
UACGUAGGGUGCGAGCGUUGUCCGGAAUUAUUGGGCGUAAAGAGCUUGUAGGCGGUCUGUCGCGUCUGCUGUGAAAACCCGGGGCUCAACCCCGGACUUGCAGUGGGUACGGGCAGACUAGAGUGUGGUAGGGGAGACUGGAAUUCCUGGUGUAGCGGUGAAAUGCGCAGAUAUCAGGAGGAACACCGAUGGCGAAGGCAGGUCUCUGGGCCACUACUGACGCUGAGAAGCGAAAGCAUGGGGAGCGAACAGG